UACGGGAGGCAGCAGUGGGGGAUAUUGCACAAUGGAGGAAACUCUGAUGCAGCAACGCCGCGUGAGGGAAGACGGUUUUCGGAUUGUAAACCUCUGUCCUUGGUGAAGAUAAUGACGGUAGCCAAGGAGGAAGCUCCGGCUAACUACGUGCCAGCAGCCGCGGUAAUACGUAGGGAGCAAGCGUUGUCCGGAUUUACUGGGUGUAAAGGGUGCGUAGGCGGCUCUGCAAGUCAGGCGUGAAAUAUAUGGGCUUAACCCAUAGACUGCGUUUGAAACUGUGGAGCUUGAGUGAAGUAGAGGUAGGCGGAAUUCCCGGUGUAGCGGUGAAAUGCGUAGAGAUCGGGAGGAACACCAGUGGCGAAGGCGGCCUACUGGGCUUUAACUGACGCUGAGGCACGAAAGCAUGGGUAGCAAACAGGAUUAGAUACCCUGGUAGUCCAUGCCGUAAACGAUGAUUACUAGGUGUGGGGGGUCUGACCCCUUCCGUGCCGGAGUUAACACAAUAAGU
rnacentral:rRNA from 1 species